AUUAUACUCCCUCCGUCCGAAAAUACUUGUCAUCAAAAUGGACAAAAAGGGAUGUAUCUAAAACGAAAAUACAUCUAGAUACAUCCCUUUUAUCCAUUUUGAUGACAAGUAUUUCCGGACGGAGGGAGUAUAUA
rnacentral:pre_miRNA from 1 species